rnacentral:misc_RNA from 1 species
GAUGAAGACGUAGCGAAAUGCGAUAAGUAGUGUGAAUUGCAGAAUUCAGUGAAUCAUCGAAUCUUUGAACGCACAUUGCGCCCUAUAGUAUUCUGUAGGGCAUGCAUGUUCGAGCGUCAUUUGUACCUUCAAGCUUUGCUUGGUGUUGGGUGUUUGUCCUCUCCCUGGUGUUUGGACUCGCCUUAAAACAAUUGGCAGCCAGUGUUUUGGUAUUGAAGCGCAGCACAAUUUGCGAUUCUGGCCUUAAAAUACUAGCGUCCAUAAGUACAUUCUCACUUUUGACCUCGGAUCAUGUAGGGAUACCCGCUGAACUUAAGCAUAUCAAUAAGCGGAGGA